rnacentral:snRNA from 1 species
GUGGGCUGAAGAGAAUGUG